UACGGAGGGUGCAAGCGUUAUCCGGAUUCACUGGGCUUAAAGGGUGCGUAGGUGGGCCGGUAAGUCAGUGGUGAAAUCUCCGGGCUUAACUCGGAAACUGCCAUUGAUACUAUCUUUCUUGAAUACCGUGGAGGUCAGCGGAAUAUGUCAUGUAGCGGUGAAAUGCUUAGAUAUGACAUAGAACACCAAUGGCGAAGGCAGCUGGCUACACGAAUAUUGACACUGAGGCACGAAAGCGUGGGGAUCAAACAGG
rnacentral:rRNA from 1 species